rnacentral:lncRNA from 1 species
GCGGCGCCGCGCCCCCGUCCUCCUCUUCCUACUCCGUCGGUCCCGUCGCCCGUUCGCCAACGCCGCCGCCUCCUUGAUCUCUCCGUCAGCGUGGGCUCCUCCAUCUCCUCUCUCCAAAGCACUCUUGUCCCACAGCGCGUAGCCACGGCGACGGCGUGCCUUCACUGAGUUCGAGGCGGAGCCGUGCGCGUCCUCAUGGAGCUAUCGUGGCUUCUGCGGGGCGACAUGAAAGUGGGGCCAUGUACACUGUGAUAUGUACACUGUGAUCGACAUGGCGGGAUAGGGGCACUCGCCACGUCUGCGUAGUGUAAAUGCC